CAGAGCUCAACUCUGGUCAGGCGGUGGAAACUGGCAAGCUAGAGUACAGUAGGGGUAGAGGGAAUUCCCAGUGUANCGGUGAAAUGCGUAGAGAUUGGGAAGAACACCGGUGGCGAAAGCGCUCUACUGGGCUGUAACGGACGCUGAGGGACGAAAGCUAGGGUAGCGAAAGGGAUUAGAUACCCCGGUAGUCUUAGCUGUAAACGAUGGAGACUAGGCGUGGCUUGUAUCGACCCGAGCCGUGCCGAAGCCAACGCGUUAAGUCUCCCGCCUGGGGAGUACGCACGCAAGUGUGAAACUCAAAGGAAUUGACGGGGGCCCGCACAAGCGGUGGAGUAUGUGGUUUAAUUCGAUGCAACGCGAAGAACCUUACCAAGGCUUGACAUCCCGCGAAUCCUGGUGAAAGCCGGGAGUGCCUUCGGGAGCGCGGAGACAGGUGGUGCAUGGCUGUCGUCAGCUCGUGUCGUGAGAUGUUGGGUUAAGUCCCGCAACGAGCGCAACCCUUGUCCUUAGUUGCCAGCAUUCAGUUGGGCACUCUAGGGAGACUGCCGGUGACAAACCGGAGGAAGGUGGGGAUGACGUCAAGUCAUCAUGCCCCUUACGUCUUGGGCUACACACGUACUACAAUGGUUGGGACAACGGGCAGCGAAGCGGCAACGCCGAGCGAAUCCCAGCAAACCCAGCCUCAGUUCAGAUCGCAGGCUGCAACUCGCCUGCGUGAAGGAGGAAUCGCUAGUAAUCGCAGGUCAGCAUACUGCGGUGAAUUCGUUCCCGGGCCUUGUACACACCGCCCGUCACACCAUGGAAGUUGGCCAUGCCCGAAGUCGUUACUCCAACCAUUGUGGAGGAGGACGCCGAAGGCAGGGCUGAUGACUGGGGUGAAGUC
rnacentral:rRNA from 1 species